rnacentral:rRNA from 1 species
GACCAAGAAAAUGAAGUCAUAUCUAGACGGUAAAAAGACAGUUAAACCCAUUAGACUAUAGGUUUAUUAAAUACUUAUAUAAAGGUAGAAUUUGGAUAUAAGUAUGAAAUCUAAAUAUAACUAUAUCUGUUGAAGCUGUGAUAUCCUUGAGGGAAACUGGGAUUAGAUACCCCAUUAUUCCUGGUUGUAAAUUAAUUGUAUUUACCCGAGUACUAUGAAUAUGAAAUUUAAAACUCAAAGAGCUUGGCGGUGUUUUAGACCUCUCAGGGGAACCUGUCUCAUAAUCGACAAUCCACGUUAAACCUGACCUUUUUUUGUUUUUCAGUCUGUAUACCGUCGUCGCCAGGUAACUUUUAAAAAAUUAGAAGUUAGCUAAACAAAUUUUAUUUUAAUUAAGACGUCAGAUCAAGGUGCAGCUAAUAAAAAGGCGAGGAUGGGUUACAAUUAUAUAUUUGUAAAACGGAUAGUUAAAUUAACUAACUAAUUUGAAGGAGGACUUGAAAGUAAAAUACUUUAUAAAAAUAAUUUGAAUAAGGCUCUGAAACGUGC